UUUCCGUAGGUGAACCUGCGGAAGGAUCAUUCAUAAUAAAGUGUCUUAUGGCACUUUUUAAAAAUCCAUAUCCACCUUGUGUGCAAUGUUAGAUCUCGUCAAUCUUGGCGAGAUUUUUAUACAUCAACUCAUUCUUUAACUAAUUUGUCUGAAAAAUAUUAUGAAUGCUUAAUUCAAAAUACAACUUUCAACAACGGAUCUCUUGGCUCUC
rnacentral:misc_RNA from 1 species